rnacentral:rRNA from 1 species
UAUUGCACAAUGGAGGAAACUCUGAUGCAGUGACGCCGCGUGCAGGAAGAAGGUUUUCGGAUUGUAAACUGCUUUAGAUAGGGAAGAANAAAGACAGUACCUAUAGAAUAAGCUCCGGCUAACUACGUGCCAGCAGCCGCGGUAAUACGUAGGGAGCGAGCGUUGUCCGGAUUUACUGGGUGUAAAGGGUGCGUAGGCGGCUGUGCAAGUCAGUAGUGAAAUCCAUGGGCUUAACCCAUGAACUGCUAUUGAAACUGCACAGCUUGAGUGAAGUAGAGGUAGGCGGAAUUCCCGGUGUAGCGGUGAAAUGCGUAGAGAUCGGGAGGAACACCAGUGGCGAAGGCGGCCUACUGGACUUUAACUGACGCUGAGGCACGAAAGCGUGGGUAGCAAACAGG